rnacentral:lncRNA from 1 species
CUCUUUGCUUUUUUUUUUUAUCUAUAGCGCACACUCAUUUUCCUCGGAUCUUACUAAAAGGAGAGACGGAACGAAAGAGAUGCAGAAACAGAGAGAGCAAGGUCGCGGCUAAGCUAUAAGUAAACUAUGCCGCGCGGGGUUUCCCUUCGCAGCUGGACACGCGGCCAAUAUUACAAAACUUGGUCCAAUUCUACUGCGUUCCGACGGUUCGGGGACCUCUCUGCUAAUAUUGAGGCGCACCGCGGCGCGUCACCGUUAGAUUUUUGGCACGACGAAUAUUGUCAAAUUUUAUCGCGUAUUUAAAAAAUGUCUAAAAUGCUUCAUUUCGAAAUUCGAAUUUCACUAAUUACGUUCCUCGAAUCUCCGAACAUUUUUUCUAUUUUUUUUUUUCACUACGCGUCCGAAACUCGAAGGUUUUUACUUCUAUGAAAAUCCUCCGCAAACAAUUUUGAAAGACAUCGGCGAGUGAUUGCGAACCAGUGGGCCCGGGUCCUCGAAAUUUUUCAAAUAAUUGUGGAAAAACGCUGCGGCUAGCGGCUCCCGACGAUCAGUUUUCUUCAUUCGUCUCCAGUUUCUUCGCCUCCGUUGCGACGCGCCUCUUCCGAGUCGAGAUUAAUUUAAUCUCAAUUGCUCUCGUUGUUUCGAAGAAAACGUUAAAAGUACUUUUUCGAAGUGCUCGAGUUUCGUGCUCGUGGCAACGAGACGAGGGCGAAUUUAUUUCAAUACUAUCAACGAACGUCGUGAAGUGCGAUUCGCUAUUUUUUGCUGCCAUACCGAGCCUCUGGGAUGAAUUUCAUCUCAAUAGGUCGCGUUGUUUCGAGCGAGUCGCUAAGUACCUUCUUAAGUAGCGAUCAUGUACGAGAACAUUCGGAGACUCGUAUCGCUGCGGCCACUAUUUCAUUGAGUAAGUAAAACGACAGUGAAAAAAAUUUUAUUUCAAAUACUCCGACGAUACUUCCACCGUCCAACAUUCACCGGAAGCUCCAGCAUUAAAAAAUUUAGUAACUCGUACGCAAGACUCGUGGCCACGUGGUUUUUCGUUUGUACAACUUCGUACGCCCCACGAACGACACUAACGAGGGGAGAAUCGACCCGAAGACUUUCAGCCUCUCUUCCAGGGGGAAGGAGGAAAUUUGAUGGAAAAUCGUCGAAGCAGAUGUCAGCAAGGGCUCAACGGAUACAAAACUAUUCGAUUAUCCACUACACAAUGUCGUUCGAAUGGUGAAAUUGAUUUGAGAAGUUCAAAAUUAUCACAACUCUUACGAGUCCGAAAAACAAAAGCUCAACUCACGUUGGUGACCGCAUUGGGAUCCGCUUUGCUUUCAAGAAGCAAAUUAAUGACGAGAG